rnacentral:rRNA from 1 species
AACGAACGCUGGCGGCAUGCCUAACACAUGCAAGUCGAACGAGACCUUCGGGUCUAGUGGCGCACGGGUGCGUAACGCGUGGGAACCUGCCCUUAGGUUCGGAAUAAAUCCCCGAAAGGGGUGCUAAUACCGGAUAAUGUCUUCGGACCAAAGAUUUAUCGCCUUUGGAUGGGCCCGCGUUGGAUUAGCUAGUUGGUAGGGUAAAAGCCUACCAAGGCGACGAUCCAUAGCUGGUCUGAGAGGAUGAUCAGCCACACUGGGACUGAGACACGGCCAAGACUCCUACGGGAGGCAGCAGUGGGGAAUAUUGGACAAUGGGCGAAAGCCUGAUCCAGCAAUGCCGCGUGAGUGAUGAAGGCCUUAGGGUUGUAAAGCUCUUUUACCCGGGAUGAUAAUGACAGUACCGGGAGAAUAAGCUCCGGCUAACUCCGUG